rnacentral:rRNA from 1 species
CAAUAGCGUAUAUUUAAGUUGUUGCAGUUAAAAAGCUCGUAGUUGGAUUUCGGUUAAGAGCGACCGGUCCGCCGUUUGGUGUGCACUGGUUGGUUUUAACUUCCUGUAGAGGACGUGCUCUGGGUUUAACGACCUGGACUCGGAGUCUACGUGGUUACUUUGAAAAAAUUAGAGUGUUCAGAGCGGGCUUACGCUUGAAUAUUUCAGCAUGGAAUAACACUAUAGGACUCCUGUCCUAUUUCGUUGGUCUCGGGACGGGAGUAAUGAUUAAGAGGAACAGUUGGGGGCAUUCGUAUUUCAUUGUCAGAGGUGAAAUUCUUGGAUUUAUGAAAGACGAACUUCUGCGAAAGCAUUUGCCAAGGAUGUUUUCAUUAA